rnacentral:rRNA from 1 species
UGCUCUUUGCAAGAGUGGGAAAGUAGGGUGAUGCGGGGGAUUGUUAAAAAA